UACGGAGGGAGCUAGCGUUGUUCGGAUAUACUGGGCGUAAAGCGCACGUAGGCGGCGCAGCAAGUCAGGGGGUGAAAUCCCGGAGCUCAACUCCGGAACUGCCUUUGAAACUGCAGUGCUAGAAUCCUGGAGAGGCGAGUGGAAUUCCGAGUGUAGAGGUGAAAUUCGUAGAUAUUCGCAAGAACACCAGUGGCGAAGGCGGCUCACUGGCCCGGUACUGACGCUGAGGUGCGAAAAGCGUGGGGGAGCAAACAGG
rnacentral:rRNA from 1 species